rnacentral:rRNA from 1 species
CCUACGGGAGGCAGCAGUGGGGAAUAUUGGGCAAUGGGCACAAGCCUGACCCAGCAACGCCGCGUGAAGGAAGAAGGCUUUAGGGUUGUAAACUUCUUUUUUCAGGGACGUAGCAAGUGACGGUACCUGAGGAAUAAGCCACGGCUAACUACGUGCCUGCAGCCGCGGUAAUACGUAGGCGGCAAGCGUUAUCCGGAUUUACUGGGUGUAAAGGGCGUGUAGGCGGGAAAGCAAGUCAGAUGUGAAAGCCAUGGGCUCAACCUGUGGCCUGCAUUUGAAACUGGUUUUCUUGAGUAUUGGUGAGGCAGACGGAAUGCCUGGUGUAGCGGUGAAAUGCGUAGAUAUUAGGAGGAACACCAGUGGCGAAGGCGGUCUGCUGGACAGCAACUGACGCUGAGGCGCGAAAGCGUGGGGAGCAAACAGGAUUAGAUACCCGGGUAGUC